rnacentral:rRNA from 16 species
GUAACGAGAGCGGCGUGGGAAACGCCGCCGCCGUAAACCCAAGGUUUCCUGGGCAAGGCUAAUCCUCCCAGGGUCAGUCGGGAGCUAAGGCGAGGCCGGAAGGCGUAGCCGAUGCACAGCAGGUCGACAUUCCUGCACCCCCGAACGGGCGUCAUCACCGAUGGGGCGACGGAGAAGGGUAGCUGGACGGGGUUCUGGACGUCCCCGCGAUGGCACGUAGGCCGCAGGGUAGUGAAACGCG